AAAAUACGGGAGGCAGCAGUGGGGAAUAUUGGACAAUGGGGGCAACCCUGAUCCAGCGACGCCGCGUGAGUGAAGAAGUAUUUCGGUAUGUAAAGCUCUAUCGAUAACGGAAGAAGAUGACAAGCCGUUAAGGAAGAAGCCCCGGCUAACUACGUGCCAGCAGCCGCGGUAAUUUUU
rnacentral:rRNA from 1 species